rnacentral:rRNA from 1 species
GACGAACGCUGGCGGCAUGCCUAACACAUGCAAGUCGAACGGAACUUGUUGGAUGAAGUUUUCGGAUGGAUUUUGAUAAGUUUAGUGGCGGACGGGUGAGUAACGCGUGAGCAACCUGCCUUUCAGAGGGGGACAACAGUUGGAAACGACUGCUAAUACCGCAUGAUGUGUCGAGAUCGCAUGAUCUUGACACCAAAGAUUUUAUCGCUGAAAGAUGGGCGUCGCGUACGAUUAGAUAGUUGGUGAGGUAACGGCUCACCAAGUCGACGAUCGUUAGCCGGACUGAGAGGUUGAACGGCCACAUUGGGACUGAGACACGGCCCAG